rnacentral:rRNA from 1 species
GAUGAACGCUGGCGGCGUGCCUAAUACAUGCAAGUCGAGCGAACGGACGAGAAGCUUGCUUCUCUGAUGUUAGCGGCGGACGGGUGAGUAACACGUGGAUAACCUACCUAUAAGACUGGGAUAACUUCGGGAAACCGGAGCUAAUACCGGAUGAUAUUUUGAACCGCAUGGUUCAAAAGUGAAAGACGGUCUUGCUGUCACUUAUAGAUGGAUCCGCGCUGCAUUAGCUAGUUGGUAAGGUAACGGCUUACCAAGGAAACGAUGCAUAGCCGACCUGAGAGGGUGAUCGGCCACACUGGAACUGAUACACGGUCCAGACUCCUACGGGAGGCAGCAGUAGGGAAUCUUCCGCAAUGGGCGAAAGCCUGACGGAGCAACGCCGCGUGAGUGAUGAAGGUCUUCGGAUCGUAAAACUCUGUUAUUAGGGAAGAACAUAUGUGUAAGUAACUGUGCACAUCUUGACGGUACCUAAUCAGAAAGCCACGGCUAACUACGUG